UGCAGUCGAGCGGAUGAAGGGAGCUUGCUCCUGGAUUCAGCGGCGGACGGGUGAGUAAUGCCUAGGAAUCUGCCUGGUAGUGGGGGAUAACGUCCGGAAACGGGCGCUAAUACCGCAUACGUCCUGAGGGAGAAAGUGGGGGAUCUUCGGACCUCACGCUAUCAGAUGAGCCUAGGUCGGAUUAGCUAGUUGGUGGGGUAAAGGCCUACCAAGGCGACGAUCCGUAACUGGUCUGAGAGGAUGAUCAGUCACACUGGAACUGAGACACGGUCCAGACUCCUACGGGAGGCAGCAGUGGGGAAUAUUGGACAAUGGGCGAAAGCCUGAUCCAGCCAUGCCGCGUGUGUGAAGAAGGUCUUCGGAUUGUAAAGCACUUUAAGUUGGGAGGAAGGGCAGUAAUUUAAUACCUUGCUGUUUUGACGUUACCAACAGAAUAAGCACCGGCUAACUUCGUGCCAGCAGCCGCGGUAAUACGAAGGGUGCAAGCGUUAAUCGGAAUUACUGGGCGUAAAGCGCGCGUAGGUGGUUCAGCAAGUUGGAUGUGAAAUCCCCGGGCUCAACCUGGGAACUGCAUCCAAAACUACUGAGCUAGAGUACGGUAGAGGGUGGUGGAAUUUCCUGUGUAGCGGUGAAAUGCGUAGAUAUAAGAAGGAACACCAGUGGCGAAGGCGACCACCUGGACUGAUACUGACACUGAGGUGCGAAAGCGUGGGGAGC
rnacentral:rRNA from 1 species